UUUAUUGGAGAGUUUGAUCCUGGCUCAGGACGAACGCUGGCGGCGUGCCUAAUACAUGCAAGUCGAGCGAAUCUGAGGGAGCUUGCUCCCGAAGAUUAGCGGCGGACGGGUGAGUAACACGUGGGUAACCUGCCUGUAAGAUUGGGAUAACUCCGGGAAACCGGAGCUAAUACCGGAUAACAUUUCGAACCGCAUGGUUCGAAGUUGAAAGGUGGCUUUUGCUACCACUUACAGAUGGACCCGCGGCGCAUUAGCUAGUUGGUGAGGUAACGGCUCACCAAGGCGACGAUGCGUAGCCGACCUGAGAGGGUGAUCGGCCACACUGGGACUGAGACACGGCCCAGACUCCUACGGGAGGCAGCAGUAGGGAAUCUUCCGCAAUGGACGAAAGUCUGACGGAGCAACGCCGCGUGAGCGAAGAAGGCCUUCGGGUCGUAAAGCUCUGUUGUUAGGGAAGAACAAGUACCGUUC
rnacentral:rRNA from 1 species